UUCCGGUUGAUCCCGCCGGACCUGACUGCUAUCGGAUUGAUACUAAGCCAUGCGAGUCAUUGUAGUAAUACAAGGCAGACGGCUCAGUAACACGUAGUCAAUCUACCCUAUGGACGGGGAUAACCUCGGGAAACUGAGAAUAAUACCCGAUAGAUCAUUAUGCCUGGAACGGUUUAUGGUCCAAAUGAUUUAUUGCCGUAGGAUGGGACUGCGACCUAUCAGUUUGUUGGUGAGGUAAUGGCCCACCAAGACUAUUACAGGUACGGGCUCUGAGAGGAGUAGCCCGGAGACGGGUACUGAGACACGGACCCAGGCCCUAUGGGGCGCAGCAGGCGAGAAAACUUUGCAAUGUGCGAAAGCACGACAAGGUUAAUCCGAGUGUUUCCUGCUAAAGGAAUCUUUUGUCAGUCCUAAAAACACUGAUGAAUGAGGGGUGGGCAAGUUCUGGUGUCAGCCGCCGCGGUAAAACCAGCACCUCAAGUGGUCAGGAGGAUUAUUGGGCCUAAAGCAUCCGUAGCCGGCUGUGUUAGUUUUCGGUUAAAUCCUUACACUCAAUGUAUGGGCCGCCGGGAAUACUGCACAGCUAGGGAGUGGGAGAGGUAGACGGUACUCGGUAGGAAGUGGUAAAAUGCUUUGAUCUAUUGAUGACCACCUGUGGCGAAGGCGGUCUACCAGAGCACGUUCGACGGUGAGGGAUGAAAGCCGGGGGAGCAAACCGGAUUAGAUACCCGGGUAGUCCCAGCUGUAAACUAUGCAAACUCAGUGAUGCACUGGCUUGUGGCCAGUGCAGUGCUGCAGGGAAGCCGUUAAGUUUGCCGCCUGGGAAGUACGUACGCAAGUAUGAAACUUAAAGGAAUUGGCGGGGGAGCACCACAAGGGGUGAAGCCUGCGGUUCAAUUGGAGUCAACGCCGGG
rnacentral:rRNA from 1 species